GUGGGGAAUAUUGCGCAAUGGGGGAAACCCUGACGCAGCGACGCCGUGUGAGGGAAGAAGGCUUUCGGGUCGUAAACCUCUGUCAGAAAGGAAGAACCUCCCAAGUCCGAAUAGGGCUUGGGACUGACGGUACUUUCAAAGGAAGCACCGGCUAACUCCGUGCCAGCAGCCGCGGUAAUACGGAGGGUGCAAGCGUUAAUCGGAAUCACUGGGCGUAAAGCGCGCGUAGGCCGCUUUGUAAGUCGGACGUGAAAGCCCUCGGCUCAACCGGGGAACUGCGUUCGAUACUGCGAGGCUUGAGUCCUGGAGAGGGUGGCGGAAUUCCGGGUGUAGGAGUGAAAUCCGUAGAUAUCCGGAGGAACACCGGUGGCGAAGGCGGCCACCUGGACAGGUACUGACACUGAGGCGCGAAAGCGUGGGGAGCAAACAGGAUUAGAUACCCCAGUAGUCC
rnacentral:rRNA from 1 species